CCGGGACCGGAGCUCAGCCCCACGCGGGCCACCGCUCUGGCUUCUCCAGGACGGCUUCUCCAGGAUGGGUGACCGAUCCCUGGUAUACGUGACCGCCUCAUGGGAUGGGUGAUCGCUCCCUGGCAUGGGUGGCUACUCCCCGGGAUGGAUGAUGGCUCCUCAGGAUGAAUGACCGCUCCCCGAGUUGGGGGCCUCUCCUCUGGACGGGUAGCCUUUCCCCGGGAUGGAUGACCACUCCCCAGCACGGAUGGCCGCUCCCUGGAACUGGUGGCCUUUUCUUCGGGAGGGACGACCGCUCGCCGGGGCGGGCGCCCGCUCCCCGGAGCCCCCCGCCCCGGCGCGGGAGGAGCCGCCCUUCCCCAGCGCAGGCGCCGCAGCGCUCGGCCGGCGCCAUGGCCCGCGGGGCGCUGCUCGGCGCUGUGGCUUGUCUGUGCUUCCUGGCCCCCGUGGCCGAGGCCUUCAAGAAGAGAGGACCCAGCGUGACAGCCAAGGUGUUCUUUGAUGUGAAGAUCGGAGACGAAGAUGUUGGCAGAAUUGUAAUUGGAUUGUUUGGAAAAGUUGUCCCAAAGACCGUGGAGAACUUCAUUGCAUUGGCAACUGGAGAAAGAGGAUAUGGAUACAAAGGAAGUAAAUUUCAUCGUGUGAUCAAAGACUUCAUGAUUCAAGGAGGAGACUUUACAGCUGGAGAUGGAUCAGGAGGAAGAAGCAUCUAUGGAGAAAGGUUUCCUGAUGAGAACUUCAAGCUCAAACACUACGGAAUUGGAUGGGUUAGCAUGGCUAAUUCUGGCCCAGACACCAACGGAUCCCAGUUCUUCAUCAGUGUGACAAAGCCUUCCUGGUUAGAUGGAAAACACGUAGUAUUUGGCAAAGUUCUUGAUGGAAUGGUAAGUUUAAAGUAGUGGUUGAUCUGGACAAAUUGUGCCCAUUAUGCCACUGUUACCAUGGUUCAGAAAAUGAUUCUGAAGAGCUCCAGCUGGAUGAUUUAGAACUGAAAUAGCAAAAAUGGAAACCUGUACCAUGCUUUUGGCUUUCCCAGCCCUUGUUUCAUACUGCUAAGCACUGAAAUCAACACUGACACCCUUGCAAAUUACAAAUGAAGAGAGUUCAGCUCCUCCUUUCAGUAGCACUGUUACCCAUGAAAUAAUUCUUUUUGUACAGGCUAAAAUCAAAUUUUGUAGUGCAUGCUAGUUAUGGGUAAUACUUUUACUGUUAAAGGUUUUUAGAAGCAUGUGAAUGUAAAGCAGGCAAACACAUACUGAUGAGAUGCCAAAUAGAAUUUCAAGCUAAAAAAAUUAUGUUUUCAAGUGAUCAUACUUUUAUUAGUCUGGUUCUCCUUACAAAUUAUUCCCUUUUAAUCUGUGUUUUGAAAUUAUUGGGGAAAACAUGAGCUGCUCGAUGGACUUUGAAGAGUUUGAAAACUUCAUCAGAAUACUUGCCCCUCACUCCCAUAUUCAUACUGAACUCAAUUUUCGUGAUCUACAGUAGUAGCUGUAAAUUUUUGAAAAGCUAUUUAGACUUAAGUUUCAGUUUAGUCAGAUUAGUGGACAAAUAUCAAACAAGUUGUCAAUAUACCUAAAUUAAUUUUGUCCUUUAAAAAUAUUGCUAUUACACUAAAAAUCUGUAUGUGUGUGUUGUAUGCUAAAGGUAAAAGCAGUAACCAGAUUUCUGGAAGCACAGUUAAGCUGUACAAUUAGAAAAAUAAUAAUGUGAUCUCUGGAUUCACUUUCUGCUUACGGUCCACAGAUAGAAUCCUGUAUGUGCCAACUUAAUUAGCUGAAUGUACAUUUUCAGUUGCACCUUCAAAAUGUUUUUGCUGGCUGAAAGGUUUCCUAGGAGGGCAAACAGCCUUCCCUGUGCUUCUGUCAACUGUGUUUGAUUUACAGAGUGGCACAACUGCUAAUGUGGAAAGAAAAGGAUGUGGGAAGUUGACAGGGUAAAGGUCUUUGUUCACAAGCUGGUUAAUAAUCAGUGAUGUUAGGUGCACUUUUUUGUUUCUGUGGCACCAGACUUCAG